rnacentral:rRNA from 1 species
CCUACGGGAGGCUGCAGUGGGGAAUUUUGCACAAUGCUGGAAACCCUGAUGCAGCGACGCCGCGUGAGUGACGAAGUAUUUCGGUAUGUAAAGCUCUAUCAGCAGGGAAGAAAAUGACGGUACCUGACUAAGAAUCCCCGGCUAACUCCGGGCUAGCAACCGCGGUAAUACGGAGGGGGCGAGCGUUCUGCGGAUUGACUGGGUGUAAAGGGAGCGUAGACGGCAGUACAAGUCAGUAGUGAAAUGCCAGUGCUUAACCACGGGACUGCUAGGGAAACUGUGCAGCUAGAGUGCAGGAGAGGAAAGUAGAAUUCCUAGUGUAGCGGUGAAAUGCGUAGAUAUUAGGAGGAACACCAGUGGCGAAGGCGGCUAACUGGACUGUAACUGACGUUGAGGCGCGAAAGCGUGGGGAGCAAACAGGAUUAGAUACCCCUGUAGUC